ensembl:lncRNA
GUGAGGGAGAUAAGCUCCAGCUCCUAGUAUUGUAAGUCCCCACGUUCUGAGACUACGUGACCUACGUGAUCCAGACUUUUCAAGAAGCCAGCUGAGUUACAGAGGCAGAAGGAGCGGGAGGACCACCAGUGCGAAUAUGAGUGUGAAGUCGCUUCAGUUGUGUCCGACACUUUGCAACCCCACGGACUGCAGCCUGCCAGGCUCCUCUGUCCAUGGGAUUCUCCAGGCAAGAAUACUGGAGUGGGUUGCCAUUUCCUUCUCCAGGGGAAUCUUUCCAACCCAGGGAUGGAUCCGCGUCUCCUCCAUUGGCAGGUUCUUUACCACUAGAGCCACUGGGGAAGCCCACUAGACCACCAAGGAAGUCCCAGAUCCCACAUCUGAGUUGAGCUCAGGGCAUACGUAGGACCAGCCCAGCCUCAGACUCUGGUCCUGUCUCUGCCCUGCUCCCGAAAGUACGACCCAGGCAGCCUACUGAGCUUCCAUCCCUUCUUCCUCAUCCCUUAUUUUGGGUUUCCAACGGAGACUGCAGCCCCAAUUCUUCAUCUCCUAUGGACCUCAUACCCCAGCUGUGUCCUAGAGGACGGUAUGAGCCCCUAGACCUAUAUUCCAGUUGGAGCACUGACUGCACCCAGGCGCUGACCCCUGCCUGACCCCGGCCAUGGCCCUGGACUCUGGGUCUUCCUGAGCUCCGGAAGCUCUCUCUGUUUUGCAACCUGGCUGGCUUCCUUGAGUGGCCCUGGCCCCCAGGCUCACCUCCAUCGCCGUCCGUCUCCUCCUGAGGCCCCACGGAGCCUCCCUGGGCAGCACUUCAAGCUGUGGAGGCCCGCUCCCCACCCCCGCCCCUGCCCCGGCCUGUGUCUUGAACUCGUCUGCUCUCCGGUGCCUGUGGUCACUCAGAUGGCCCUCCAGGACUACUGGGUGCACCCGGGCAGGUCUCUUCAC